AGUGGGCUCGCCGUGUUGGACUUCGUCUGAUAAUUUGAUGCGAUGUUGUGGCCCUGAUAAUGAAAACCCUAAUGAAUUGAACUUUGCUCUUCGGUCUCAUCGAUGCGUCUGUGUAACUGUGGCGAUGGCGUUUGAGUUUCAUAACGGAGGCGUCGUGAUUACUCCGACUUUAAUCCUGCUGUCUUAAAUGGUGAUUGCGAACUCUCCAGAUGCAUCGUUCAGUCGUCAAAUUGGGUGUUUGUCGGUUGUGGAGGCUAGGAAUAUCAAGCGUGGUGGAGAGUUUAUGUGGGUCGAUAUGCUCCUGUUGGAUGUCAAUGAUUGUUAAAGCUGAAAUCAUGGCGGUACAGAUGUUGGAGAAGAAGUAUUGAUCCCUAUGAUUCAGCUAAGGUGACAAGAGACAGAGCAUUGAGAUAAUGGUUGAUAGAGAAAACUGGAGAAAACAUAAACAUAGACUUUGGUUCUGGAUAAUCUAGAGAUCCUGAGACAAAGGCAUGGUUAGAGCAACAUAAACAUUCGGUGUGAUCACCUCCACCACCAAUCGCACAAACAUACCAAACGAUUGGCCUCGGAAAUUAAGUUACAUGGGUUUUUUUUUGUGUUGCUCUUUGUUCUCUCAUUCACAAUUUCUGGUGAGCUACUAUUCUACUUUCACUUCUGGAAAGCAUGAAGUUCUCAAUUUUUAAGGUCAUAUUUCCCCAUCCGAGGUUGGUUUCUUCUUCCAUAAUAAUGAAAGAUUCUUCUAUACAAAUCUACAUCAGCUAAUGGUGUUUUACCAAAGAUUUUGUGAGGACUGAUGGUGCAACAACAUUGUAGAAGUUUGCUGGAGGGAUUUACAAAGACUCAGAUGGGAAGUUUGGAGGUCAAAAAAAGAGAGAUAACACCAGCUGGAGCAACAAGAGAGUAGAAACAGAGGUGAACCAAGUUUUGUUGAUUAUGGAAGAAAGAAAAUACUCUGACGUUUUUAAUAUGUUGAUGCAUAGUAAUGCUUUUGUUUUGUCAAUCUGCAUAGUAAUUGAGUAGGAAAGAAUGGAAAACUUCCAAAUACGGUAUUUGCUUUUGAGUUAUUUUAUAUUAUAACUACAGUGAUAAUGAAGCUUUGAUGAAUAUUUUUUUAUAUUA